GGUUUGCAGUGGAGGCAAGAGUAUCUUGCUGGAGAUCCCUGCAUAUCUGAGGCCUACUGAAGACGUAUGCAAUCUAUAUUCCGAACUGAUGUCAGCUGGCCUGAUUACCGAAGAAAUUAGAGCAACUCCACCAAAACACAAUUCCAGAGCAUCAGGGUCGUAGCAAUCCUCACCUGGCUUCCAGGCACGGCUGUCCUGGGGGAUGCACGGAAAGUCACGGAAGAAGAUGGGAGUACUUCACCUUGGCUGCCAUCACACAGACAGUUUAUGUCAGUUCCACCAGGGUGCUCCUUCUUGCCAGCAGCUGGGGCAUGUGGAAAGUCUUGCAGGAGCCAAAAUGAUCAUUACAUCUGUCAGGCACUGUAUGGUGAUGAGCUCAAUGGUUUUCUUAGAAUCUUUCAAGGGAAAAGGAAAAAAACCCAAGAAAUUACAAAAAAAUAGAUGCUUACCUUGUCAGCUGUUUCAAUCUUGCUGCUUUUGAUAUCUGAUUGAUGUUCCAUUCACAUAUACCUAGGACUCUACACUUAGAGAAAAAACAACACUACACUGUGCGUUACUGGCCUUCUGGUUGUGUGCAAGUGGAACUCCACGUUGGAUCAGAAUUUUUCUUCCUAAGUCCUUUAUUGGAAAUGUAGAGUCAAACUGUGUGGACUAGGAACAAAUCUGUGUCAAGAUACUUCUGAUGGGGUGCUCAGAACCUUAUAUUGUAUCUUUAAAGCCAAACUAAACCCUGUAUUUAAAGCAAGUUAUACUGCUUCAAACUGUUCAGCAAGGGUGUGAGCCUGAUCAGGAGCUCCCAACCAAGGAAUCUCACUGUGCUGGAUGAGCCUGUUUAUUCCCCUUGUCUUAAAAUAUUGGGAAAAUUUGUGACUUUGUAGAAAUUCAUUAUUUUCAAACUGCUUCCACUGAUUUCGGAGGCCAUGUUGGAGAUAAGGGGAAAAGGAGCGGCUCUGGUUAUUCUGAAGAGCCAUUCAGGAUACAGGGGAGGUCUACAAGCACUUAGAGAUCUGCCUGAUUUCAGCUGCCUAUCCCUGUGUGCACGUUUUGUGGAAUUUUAAAAACAAUUUCUUUACAGAAACUCCUUCUGAAGGGAACAUAUGAUAUUCUCUGAAUUGUUUGGAUUGGCUUAGAUUAUAGAGGCUUCUUCUGAGAAAGAAAUCAAAGUAGGCUUCUGGUGAGAUGAACACGUAACAUAUUGAUAAAUGUAGUUACAUAUAUGAACCGGGUAAGAAAUAAUAGCGGAGAUUCUUACAUAUGAUUCUUACAGUUCUUGACAGCUUGAACUCCCACAUGCUUGACUAGUUCAAUACUGGAUUAGUGUGAUGCCUGCUUGGCAGAUCCUGUGGGGCAUAGACUCGGCAAGAAACACAUCAUUCAGGAUUUUGGGGACAGCUUGUAAACUAUCCAGCACCACUGGCAAUCCCACUCCAAUCAAAGUCAAGCUCGAAAGUGGAAUGAGGGGAAAAAGAGAAGCUCUUGUAUUUACGCUCCUAUAAUUUAUGUUCUAAAUUGAGAUUUACCCAUUUCUGUAGAAGAGCACCACUGAAAGAUUGCUUUGUAAAAUAAUAUGAACUGUACUGAGCAAGCUAUAAGAUACUUACAGAAGCAAGAAGGAAAAUCAGAAUGAAUGUGAAAAGACUGCACUGAAAUUGUGAUUAUUUUUACUGGUAAAACAGCAGUUGCUAUUAAUAAAGCCAUGGUGU